rnacentral:rRNA from 1 species
CCUACGGGAGGCAGCAGUGGGGAAUAUUGCACAAUGGGCGCAAGCCUGAUGCAGCCAUGCCGCGUGUGUGAAGAAGGCCUUCGGGUUGUAAAGCACUUUCAGCGGGGAGGAAGGCGUUAAGGUUAAUAACCUUGUCGAUUGACGUUACCCGCAGAAGAAGCACCGGCUAACUCCGUGCCAGCAGCCGCGGUAAUACGGAGGGUGCAAGCGUUAAUCGGAAUUACUGGGCGUAAAGCGCACGCAGGCGGUCUGUCAAGUCGGAUGUGAAAUCCCCGGGCUCAAUCUGGGAACUGCAUUCGAAACUGGCAGGCUAGAGUCUUGUAGAGGGGGGUAGAAUUCCAGGUGUAGCGGUGAAAUGCGUAGAGAUCUGGAGGAAUACCGGUGGCGAAGGCGGCCCCCUGGACAAAGACUGACGCUCAGGUGCGAAAGCGUGGGGAGCAAACAGGAUUAGAUACCCCAGUAGUC